rnacentral:rRNA from 1 species
CUACCUACGGGACGCAGCAGUAGGGAAUUUUCGUCAAUGGGCGAGAGCCUGAACCAGCCAAGUCGCGUGAAGGAUGACGGCCCUUCGGGUUGUAAACUUCUUUUGUCAGGGAGCAAUUGAGUCCACGUGUGGGCUUAGCGAGAGUACCUGAAGAAAAAGCAUCGGCUAACUCCGUGCCAGCAGCCGCGGUAAUACGGAGGAUGCGAGCGUUAUCCGGAUUUAUUGGGUUUAAAGGGUGCGCAGGCGGAAUGUCAAGUCAGCGGUAAAAUUUCGGGGCUCAACCCCGUCGUGCCGUUGAAACUGGC